UACAGAGGUCCCAAGCGUUGUUCGGAUUCACUGGGCGUAAAGGGUGCGUAGGUGGCGAGGUAAGUCGGAUGUGAAAGCUCGGAGCUCAACUCCGAAAUGGCAUUGGAAACUACCUUGCUUGAGGGUUGGAGGGGGGACUGGAAUUCUCGGUGUAGCAGUGAAAUGCGUAGAUAUCGAGAGGAACACCAGUGGCGAAGGCGGCAUCCUGGACCGGCAUUGACGCUGAGGCGCGAAAGCUAGGGGAGCAAACGGG
rnacentral:rRNA from 1 species